GCGCAUGUGGUGAAAAUAGGUAUACACGCCAUCUUGAGGGGGUGGUGCUUUCGGGCAUGGGGGUUCGAGUCCCCCUUUGCGCACAA
rnacentral:tRNA from 1 species